GCCAAAUUAGUGUUUGUUUUAUUAAAGAGUGCCCUGAAAUAGCUAGAAAGGAAGUUUUAUAUAAUCUACUUUUGAAUGAUUGAAUACAGUUUAAUGUGACGCUUUAUUGAAACCCAAUCCCCGAAUCAGAGGCCCAAUCUGGCCGGUUAAUAACCUCAAGAUGGUAAUAAAAUUGACAUUGAAAUACAGAUCGAUUUAGCGUGAAUAGUCGACAAUUACUAUAUCCGAAUUCUGUGAUAAAAUAGAUGAAGUUAAAGUAUUUUGGUUGGUUUGAAAAGCGAAAUACGAAGCAAACGUGUGAAUUCACCGCAUACUUACGCACCAAAUGCAUGUGCAUACAUAAAUACAUUGAUAUACGAAUGAUAUCAAAUGACGCUUGUUGAAUUCGUAUUUAGCCUCACGAUCUUGUUA